AACGAACGCUGGCGGCAUGCCUAACACAUGCAAGUCGAACGAACCCUUCGGGGUGAGUGGCGCACAGGUGCGUAACACGUGGGAACCUGCCCUUAGGUUCGGAAUAACAGUUAGAAAUGACUGCUAAUACCGGAUAAUGUCUUCGGACCAAAGAUUUAUCGCCUUUGGAUGGGCCCGCGUAGGAUUAGCUAGUUGGUGAGGUAAAGGCCCACCAAGGCGACGAUCCUUAGCUGGUCUUAGAGGAUGAUCAGCCACACUGGGACUGAGACACGGCCCAGACUCCUACGGGAGGCAGCAGUGGGGAAUAUUGGACAAUGGGCGAAAGCCUGAUCCAGCAAUGCCGCGUGAGUGAUGAAGGCCUUAGGGUUGUAAAGCUCUUUUACCUGGGAUGAUAAUGACAGUACCAGGAGAAUAAGCCCCGGCUAACUCCGUGCCAGCCGCCGCAGUAAGAC
rnacentral:rRNA from 1 species